GACGAACGCUGGCGGCGUGCUUAACACAUGCAAGUCGAACGGAAAGGCCCUGCUUUUGUGGGGUGCUCGAGUGGCGAACGGGUGAGUAACACGUGAGUAACCUGCCCUUGACUUUGGGAUAACUUCAGGAAACUGGGGCUAAUACCGGAUAGGAGCUCCUGAUGCAUGGUGGGGGUUGGAAAGUUUCGGCGGUUGGGGAUGGACUCGCGGCUUAUCAGCUUGUUGGUGGGGUAGUGGCUUACCAAGGGUUUGACGGGUAGCCGGCCUGAGAGGGUGACCGGCCACAUUGGGAAUGAGAUACGGCCCAGACUCCUACGUGAGGCAGAAGUGGGGAAUAUUGCACAAUGGGCGGAAGCCUGAUGCAGCAACGCCGCGUGCGGGAUGACGGCCUUCGGGUUGUAAACCGCUUUCGCCUGUGACGAAGCGUGAGUGACGGUAAUGGGUAAAGAAGCACCGGCUAACUACGUG
rnacentral:rRNA from 1 species